AACGAACGCUGGCGGCGCGCCUAAUACAUGCAAGUCGAACGAGAAGGUGUAGCAAUACACUUGUACAGUGGCGAACGGGUGAGGAAUGCAUGGGCAACCUACCCUCGAGUGGGGAAUAACUAGCCGAAAGGUUAGCUAAUACCGCGUACGCUCCUUGGACUUCGGUUCAGGGAGGAAAGCGAUACCGUGGGUAUCGCGCUCUUGGUUGGGCUCAUGUCCUAUCAGCUUGUUGGGAGGUAACGGCUCACCAAGGCUUCGACGGGUAGCUGGUCUGAGAGGACGAUCAGCCACACUGGCACUGCGACACGGGCCAGACUCCUACGGGAGGCAGCAGUAAGGAAUAUUGCGCAAUGGGGGAAACCCUGACGCAGCAACGCCGCGUGGAGGAUGAAGGUCUUCGGAUCGUAAACUCCUGUCAGAGGGGACGAAGGCUUGCGGGCGAAUAGUCCGUAAGCUUGACGGUACCCUCAGAGGAAGCCCCGGCUAACUCUGUGCCAGCA
rnacentral:rRNA from 1 species